GAGAGAGAACAUGAAAACUGGAUGUGAAAUUAAGAAAAGACAAAGCGGAGAGAGCCCUUCUGUGUGUGACGCAAACUGCCCGUUGGCAAAAACAAUGUGUGUGUGCGCGUGUGUAUGUGUGUGGUGGAGCAAGCCAGGCGCUCAGUCCAUGCAUGUGUCCCAGCAUUGUUCUGCGGCCGCAGCCGGUCGCCAGCUUCGUAUUCAGAGACACCCCCAUCGUCCAUCUAUGCCUAUUCAUGGCUGUUCGGUCGAACGUGAUCGCAGCUUUUCAUGCUGCGCUAUAAAGCGAGACGACUGAAUAUGCAAAGAUGUAACAACUAAGGAAGCCAUCUUGGUACAAAUUCUGAGCAAUUAUCACAUCAAGACUUAUUUAAAUGGUUUCCUUUGAGACAAAAAACUGACUUUAAAUGAGUCGCGGGUCGGUUUUAACGGACCAGCACGACUUCCCACAGAGGCACACAAACGAUCCCAGCUCCAUUGUGCCAUUAAAACAACUUUUCCGACUGGGUUUUUGUUUGUUUGGCAUCAUCUACCAGCUCAGAAACGAGGAGGAAAAAGUAAAUUACAUAAAAGCUCAAAAAACUGAUUUUAUUUUUUUCCACCCCCAGACAUCUGGUUCUGAUCUGCGGAUUUUCUCUGGAACCUUUGGAGGUUAUUCUGCAAAGCAGGAGUAACAUCGCAGAGAAGACAAGAGAGUCUUCAGUCAGAGGAGCGUUCAUCACCAUCGUAACACUGACUGCUACAGGAGAACGUUCGAUAAUAUAAAUUACAUUGUCAUUCAACAUUCCUCUGGGUUCAAUAAAAUAUUUUUGAUCUCCAAGAACGAGCCUGGAUGAGCGGAUAUCAACAACGACUGGACGUUCAAACAUUCCAGCUAAUUAUUUUACUUUCGUUUCACACUCUAAAUGAUCUUGAAUUCAUACGGUCCUAAAUAAAAACAACAAUACGCAGUUUAACGUAUUUUACAUACAAAGACAGACACAAAGAAAUGCCAGUUUUCCAGCGUGAUUCACACUGUGACUCUCUCCUGCAGGGCACAUGGCAGCAGUAGGUGGACGUCAGCCUGAGCCGUGUCAUUUAGAGAGACGGACUCGCAGACGAGCUGAAAGUCGCCAGAACGCGGAAGCAUCAAAUGGUCCAGGCGCAGAUCUGGGUGGAGACGAAGAAGGGGCGGCUCAGCAGGGUUAUGACCAGACAUUAGCAAGCCGGCUGGAUUAACUGGUAUGCAACCAUUCGGAGGAUAACUUGGGCAGAGGGCAGAGCUUUGAAAGUCAGAGCCAGCAAGACUCAAGUUUCUGAUCAAGUCGGUGUGCAUGAUGCAGAAUCACCAGCGUCUCCACUGGGCCCAGGGUGAUGCUCACUAGAGCAAAAGCUGCCGCCUUAAAGCCCGGGGAAGUGACACAGAAGGCAGCAGCUGAUGCCAUUUGUACCGGAAUCCAGCAGAGGAAACACAAGUUCCCAGUAAGGCAGAGCAUCAUCAGAGCAGGGGAAGUUCAAACCUCGACCUUUCAGCUGCUAACCACAGCCCAUGACUGAGAGUUAAGAGAAGAUCUUGGAAGGCAGAUAAAGUUUCCAGAGCGCACAGCAAAGACGUCAAUCAGGCCAGAUUCGGCCUUCACAUCAGAGUCCGCGAAGCAAGCAUGCUGCUGGAGCUUCCAGUCCCCCCGGGAAGAUCGGAUGUGGGAGCCCCACGAACGUCAGAAGGACAAAUAUCUGAAGUUGAGACGUAGAGGAAGAGCGGCUGGCAGGCCCGCUGUGAGCAAACUGAGGAGGCCUGCAGGGGUUAUUUCAGGGCAAUCUGAGCACCGUCCGUUUAGGGUUGGUAGAAAUUAGAGCCAACAGAAACAUCAGUGAAGCUGCUAUAAAAGCCCCAAGACAGCUGUGGAUCGAGAAGGGAAGAUGGUGCUUAGACAGGCCUGGGACUGAUAACUGGUCGCCUAGGUGAUGAUUUAAGACCCGGGUUAAUCACCGACGAUGAACCAUCAAGGUGUUUCAUAGAUCUAAGGUAAAGGUGCAUUUAUUCUCACAAGGCAGUAAGAGACAACAGGAAAAUAGCUACUUGGAUACAAUAUUUAAAGUUAAAUAAUACUUACAAGGUGUAAAGCAACUAAUCAGUGUCAAGUAAGGCUGGUGAGGACAAUGUCCACCUGCCACUAAACAUUGAGGUAGAAGGGGAAAAGAUUAAGCUUUAACUGUAAAAGAAAAUAAACUUUUAGAAAUGCUACAAGCAGCUAAAACGUUCUGUGAAGGUAUAAUUUGCCACUGCCUUGUAUUUAUGUCAGCUGUUUGAUGGAUAAAAUUGCUAAAAUAUUUUUUUAUUAUUAAAAAAGAGUGAGGUAGGAGAGGGGGGGGAAAAUAAACUUGCCACAGAAUAAAAUGAGUGGUUAAAAGUG